UUUGGGAGCUAGCAUUGAAG
rnacentral:siRNA from 1 species